rnacentral:rRNA from 1 species
GACGAACGCUGGCGGCAUGCCUUACACAUGCAAGUCGAACGGUAACGCGGGGCAACCUGGCGACGAGUGGCGAACGGGUGAGUAAAGUAUCGGAACGUGCCCAGUAGUGGGGGAUAGCCCGGCGAAAGCCGGAUUAAUACCGCAUGAGACCUGAGGGUGAAAGCGGGGGAUCGCAAGACCUCGCGCUAUUGGAGCGGCCGAUAUCAGAUUAGGUAGUUGGUGGGGUAAAAGCCUACCAAGCCGACGAUCUGUAGCUGGUCUGAGAGGACAACCAGCCACACUGGGACUGAGACACGGCCCAGACUCCUACGGGAGGCAGCAGUGGGGAAUUUUGGACAAUGGGCGCAAGCCUGAUCCAGCCAUGCCGCGUGCGGGAAGAAGGCCUUCGGGUUGUAAACCGCUUUUGUCAGGGAAGAAAUCUUCUGGGUUAAUACCUCGGGAGGAUGACGGUACCUGAAGAAUAAGCACCGGCUAACUACGUGCCAGCAGCCGCCGUAACAC